UUUUUUUUAUCGUCUAAAGUAAGUUCCAAGCACAAAUAAGUUAGUAUGGAUUUUAUAUAAUAGAGAUAUUGAGUUAAGGAUUUCAAGCUUUGAAAUAAAGAGAAACCCAUUUUUAAUUACAAUUUAUCUCUCCUUGAGUCAUCUACUUUAGAUGAUAAAGCAUCACUCUCUCUUCUUCAUAACUUCUCAUCAAGUCCCAAAGUGUAUUUUCCCAUAACUCAAUUGUUCUCUUCAAUAUUUCAGUUUAAUUACCCAAGUGUUUGAGAAUUGGGAGAAACCCCAAAACAAAGAUAUAAACCCCAAACAAUAAUUUUCUCUCUCCUCUGAUUUUAUACCCCGUACUGUGCAUGCUCAAUUUCUUCAUUUUGGAUUCGGAAUUUGCCAAAACUUAUUGAAUCAAAGUUGUAGAUCUCAAAAAGUUAUUGAACUUAGACCCAAAAAUCACUUGAUUUGGAGUUGGGAGCUAUGAGUUAUGGUCUUUGUAAGUUUGGUGCUCCUAUCUUAAUUUCUCUCUCCUCUGUUUUUAUUCCGACAAUCUGUUGCCCCAAUUAUCUACAACAUGCAAUCCAAUUUUGCUCUUUGUUUCUAAAUCAAAGUUGUAUAUCACUUCGAGCUAAUGAAUUUGGGCACAAAAAUCACUUGAUUUGGAGUUCGGAGCUAUGAGUUAUGGUCUUUGUAAGUUUGGUGUUCCUAUCUUCAUUUCUCUCUCCUAUGUUUUUAUUCCAACAAUCUGUUUCCUCAAUUAUCUACAACAUGCAAUCCAAUUUUGCUCUUUGUUGCUGAAUCAAAGUUGUAGAUCACUUCGAGCUAAUGAAUUUGGGCACAAAAAUUGCUCAAUUCGGAGUUCGGAACUAGGAGUUACGCCUCACACAAGUUCAGCACUGCUGAUGUACCUUGUGUUGCGCUGCUGUCAUGGUUGGCUUGUUUGCCCAUGUUGUCAUUGCUAACUUGUUGCCUUGUUGCUGCCAUUGUUGGUAUUCCUUUCCAUAUGAAGGUCGUUGUUGGAGUAUGUAUAUGGAGAUAAUUUAUGAAGUUCGAGCUAUAGUUGGUUAUCCAGAAUGUCGAAUUAUUGGGAAUCGUUUAAAGGGUUCAUUGUUAAUGAUUUUGCAGGGUUGAUGUCGAGGACUUGGAAUAUGAUUAUUGAUCAAGAAGAAGAUUUUUAUGUUAUGAGAUGGUGGACUGAGGUUAAAGUUCGAUGCUUUGUUUGGAAGUAUUUGUAAUCUGUUAUUUGAUUUUCAAGUUGUUAUGUUGUGGGCCCCUGACCCACGGAUCCAGGAUCGUUUUUAUAGGUUUUGUUUCCGCUGUGAAUAAAUGUAAAUUCGAGGAUUGUUAAGUGUUGAUUGUGUUUUGUGUA